rnacentral:sRNA from 1 species
GUCCAAGACUUACGAAAGAAACGAGAAACCAAAGACGUUGAAGACGUGUACGCCAGGACGCAAUCCGAAGAAAGUACGGGGCACGGGAAAGGAGAGGACUAAAGAAGCACCUUCUAAAAAAUCCCGGGAAACCAGUGGUUCUGUUGAAGACGUUGAAACAGACAUGCUUGUCGCUUCUGUUCAAAGGUGGAGUGAUUUUUAUGACAGUCUGUGAUGUAUAUAUGCACCUUCUACCGCAGUCAUUAGAAAGUAUAUUACAUUGUAUUACAUUGUAUUCAUAGAACUUUACAUUUGAUUAUUAAUGUGUUCAAUGCAUGUAGUUUAUUUUUUUUUUAUUUACUUCUUGGUAAAUAAUUAUGUAGAUGUGCAUUGUAUUUACGUCUUACAAACUUGUACUGUACUUUAAGUAUAUAUUUUUGGCGUUUACGGUAGAUCAAACUUCGAAUUUCUAGAUUUGCUUUCAAAGAAACUUUUUCCGUGAAAUAAUAAUUUUCAUUAAGUAAGGAUUUUUAAAUUGAUAUAAUUUUAAGAAAUUUCAUAUUAUAUUAAAAUGAAUAAACCAAUUACUAUUCAG